GCCUGCAGGUCUCUGGUUGAUCCUGCCGGACCCGACUGCUAUCAGAGUGGGACUAAGCCAUGCGAGUCAACGUAGCAAUGCGUGGCGAACGGCUCAGUAACACGUAGUCAACAUGCCCAGGGGACGUGGAUAACCUCGGGAAACUGAGAUUAAACCGCGAUAGGUCAAGAUUUCUGGAAUGGAUCGUGUCUUAAAUCUACAUGGCCCCUGGAUUGGACUGCGGCCGAUCAGGCUGUUGGUGAGGUAAUGGCCCACCAAACCUAUAACCGGUACGGGCUCUGAGAGGAGAAGCCCGGAGAUGGGCACUGAGACAAGGGCCCAGGCCCUAUGGGGCGCAGCAGGCGCGAAACCUCUGCAAUGGGCGAAAGCCUGACAGGGUUACUCUGAGUGAUUUCCGCUAAGGAGAUCUUUUGGCAGCUCUAAAAAUGGUGCAGAAUAAGGGGUGGGCAAGUCUGGUGUCAGCCGCCGCGGUAAUACCAGCACCCCGAGUGGUCGGGACGAUUAUUGGGCCUAAAGCAUCCGUAGCCGGUUGUGCAAGUCCUCCGUUAAAUCCAGCCGCUCAACGGAUGGGCUGCGGAGGAUACUACAGGACUAGGAGGCGGGAGAGGCAAGCGGUACUUAGUGGGUAGGGGUAAAAUCCUUUGAUCCAUUGAAGACCACCAGUGGCGAAGGCGGCUUGCCAGAACGCGCUCGACGGUGAGGGAUGAAAGCUGGGGGAGCAAACCGGAUUAGAUACCCGGGUAGUCCCAGCUGUAAACGAUGCAGACUCGGUGAUGGGCUAGCCUCGUGUCAGCCCAGUGCCGCAGGGAAGCCGUUAAGUCUGCCGCCUGGGGAGUACGGUCGCAAGACUGAAACUUAAAGGAAUUGGCGGGGGAGCACCACAAGGGGUGAAGCCUGCGG
rnacentral:rRNA from 1 species